GCUGUCGUCAGCUCGUGUCGUGAGAUGUUGGGUUAAGUCCCGCAACGAGCGCAACCCCCUUUCUUAGUUGCUAACAGGUUAUGCUGAGAACUCUAAGGAUACUGCCUCCGUAAGGAGGAGGAAGGUGGGGACGACGUCAAGUCAUCAUGGCCCUUACGCCUAGGGCUACACACGUGCUACAAUGGGGUGCACAAAGAGAAGCAAUACUGCGAAGUGGAGCCAAUCUUCAAAACAUCUCUCAGUUCGGAUUGUAGCCU
rnacentral:rRNA from 1 species